GCCAGGCGCGGUGGCAUGUGCCUGUAGUCCCAGCUACUCAGGAGGCUGAGGCUGGAGAAUCCCUUGAGUUCAGGAGUUAUGGGCUGUAGUGCGCAAUGCCGAUCGGGUGUCCACACUAAGUUCGGCAUCAAUAUGGUGACCUCCCGGGAGCGAGGGACUACCAGGUUGCCUAAGGAGGAGUGAACCAGCCCAGGUCGGAAACGGAGCAGGUCAAAACUCCCGUGCUGAUCAGUAGUGGGAUCAUGCCUGUGAAUAGCCACUGCACUCCAGCCUGGGCAACAUAGCGAGACCACAUCUCUU
ensembl:misc_RNA Metazoa_SRP Metazoan signal recognition particle RNA